AUAUGUAGCCUUGGGGUUCCAACACCAUCACAAUAAUGCGGAGACCAGUUCCCCGUAAGGACAGCGCCGAGGCGGAUAGGUUAUUUCCGUGGCUGUUACCCAGCAGACGUUUUAUAUCUACUAGCCUUACGAGACGUCCCAAUCUUGUGGUGCCCAAGAAGAAAAAAAGAAUCUCCAAGCAUAAGUCAAGUCAAGAUCAUCUGGAAAACAUGUUAAUGUUCUGCUCAAGAAGACAAAAGACAUCACCCAAAUCCCCCACCUAAGUGAGCAAGAAGAAAAAGAAAGUGAGCAAGAAGAAAAAGAAAGUGAGCAAGAAGAAAAAGAAGAUGUUGUUUUAACUUAAAAAAAAAACUUGCUUUUGCUAUCCUUUAUCAGGACUCGAAAACCUUGUUUUUAUGUUAUAUGUGUGGUUUUGAGAAAUCUUUGUCAUGAUGAUAUGGUAAUGUGGUAAUAAUAUAACUACUUUUUUCAA